AGAGUUUGAUCCUGGCUCAGGACGAACGCUGGCGGCGUGGAUAAGGCAUGCAAGUCGAACGCUCCCGAGAUUUUCGCAAGAAAGUCGAGGGAGAGUGGCAAACGGGGUAGUAACACGUAGGUACGUACCCUUAAGUCGGGUAUAACUCCGGGAAACCGGAGCUAAUUCCCGAUAUUGUGGUAACACGAAAGAAGCAAUUCGCUUAAGGAGCGGCCUGCGGGCUAUCAGCUUGUUGGUGAGGUAAUGGCUCACCAAGGCAGUGACGGCUAGGGGACGUGAGAGCGUGACCCCCACCAUUGGGACUGAGACACGGCCCAAACACCUACGGGUGGCUGCAGUCGAGAAUCUUCGACAAUGGGCGAAAGCCUGAUCGAGCGACGCCGCGUGCAGGAUGAAGUUCUUCGGGACGUAAACUGCUUUUAAUCGGGAUGAAUCUCGGCUUGCCGGGAUGACAGUACCGGUUGAAUAAGGGCCUGCUAACCUCGUGCCAGCAGCCGCGGUAAGACGAGGGGCCCAAGCGUUGUCCGGAAUCACUGGGCGUAAAGGGUGUGUAGGGGGUUAUGUUAGUCCUGCUUUAAAGCUCUCGGCUUAACCGGGAAAAUGGGCAGGAAACGGCAUAGCUGGAGGAUGCGAGAGGCGUACGGAACUCACGGUGGAGGGGUGAAAUCCGUAGAUAUCGUGGGGAACACCGAAGGCGAAGGCAGUACGCUGGCGCAUACCUGACCCUGAAACACGAAAGCGUGGGGAUCAAAGAGGAUUAACAAUCGCUCGCACCAUUUUUGCUGCAAAUUGAGUUUCGGCAAGAAAAAAUCAUAGUCGCUUCGCGACGAAAAAUUCAAAACUGCGCCGCCCUUCGGGCGUGCCCGGACAGAUGAAUUUUUCUGCGAAGCUCCUUGAUUUCAAAUCUUGCCUCCGCAAGAUUUGCGCAAAAAGGCGCUCGCUCACAUGAGCGAGAUAUAAAGGGUGUAUCGAGCGCUAGUCCCCAUGUGCGAAACGCACGUGGUUAAAAAACUUGUCCCAAUUUUGCUCGCAAUCCGCCAGUUGGCGGAGAGCGAUUGCAAAAUUGCGGAUCCCGAAAUCGCGAGAGCGAUGAGGGAGCUAUAUGCUGGAAAGCCCGCAAAAAUCUCACAGUACUACAGUAUACUGUAGUAAAAAUCUGAUGAGCGAAGCGGACAACCAGCAGGGAAGUCCUGAACGAAGUUGAAGGACCCCUCAGAGACUAUACGCCGAGCCCCGCCAACAAUAAUUAUGCCGCGCGCGAUGUACUCAUCGCGCGCCGGCACUUAUUUUUGGUAGGCGGGGAUGAUAUAGUCCGAACUCUAUGGCGACAUAGAGAGGUAAGUAGAAAUAACUUGCCCGACUUGGAAACUCAAUUUCCAAGUAAGUAACAACAUUGUAGAUACCCUUGUAGUCCACGCCCUAAACGAUGAUGACUAGCUAUUGGAAGUAUCGACCCUUCCAGUGGCGAAGCUAACGCGUUAAGUCAUCCGCCUGGGAAGUACGGUCGCAAGGCUAAA
rnacentral:rRNA from 1 species